rnacentral:rRNA from 1 species
UGGGGAAUAUUGCACAAUGGGCGCAAGCCUGAUGCAGCCAUGCCGCGUGUAUGAAGAAGGCCUUCGGGUUGUAAAGUACUUUCAGUCGGGAGGAAGGUGUCAAGGUUAAUAACCUUGGCAAUUGACGUUACCGACAGAAGAAGCACCGGCUAACUCCGUGCCAGCAGCCGCGGUAAUACGGAGGGUGCAAGCGUUAAUCGGAAUUACUGGGCGUAAAGCGCACGCAGGCGGUUGAUUGAGUCAGAUGUGAAAUCCCCGGGCUUAACCCGGGAAUUGCAUCUGAUACUGGUCAGCUAGAGUCUUGUAGAGGGGGUAGAAUUCCAUGUGUAGCGGUGAAAUGCGUAGAGAUGUGGAGGAAUACCGGUGGCGAAGGCGGCCCCCUGGACAAAGACUGACGCUCAGGUGCGAAAGCGUGGGGAGCAAACAGG